rnacentral:rRNA from 2 species
AGCGAACUGAUUAGAAGCUUGCUUCUAUGACGUUAGCGGCGGACGGGUGAGUAACACGUGGGCAACCUGCCUGUAAGACUGGGAUAACUUCGGGAAACCGAAGCUAAUACCGGAUAGGAUCUUCUCCUUCAUGGGAGAUGAUUGAAAGAUGGUUUCGGCUAUCACUUACAGAUGGGCCCGCGGUGCAUUAGCUAGUUGGUGAGGUAACGGCUCACCAAGGCAACGAUGCAUAGCCGACCUGAGAGGGUGAUCGGCCACACUGGGACUGAGACACGGCCCAGACUCCUACGGGAGGCAGCAGUAGGGAAUCUUCCGCAAUGGACGAAAGUCUGACGGAGCAACGCCGCGUGAGUGAUGAAGGCUUUCGGGUCGUAAAACUCUGUUGUUAGGGAAGAACAAGUACAAGAGUAACUGCUUGUACCUUGACGGUACCUAACCAGAAAGCCACGGCUAACUACGUGCCAGCAGCCGCGGUAAUACGUAGGUGGCAAGCGUUAUCCGGAAUUAUUGGGCGUAAAGCGCGCGCAGGCGGUUUCUUAAGUCUGAUGUGAAAGCCCACGGCUCAACCGUGGAGGGUCAUUGGAAACUGGGGAACUUGAGUGCAGAAGAGAAAAGCGGAAUUCCACGUGUAGCGGUGAAAUGCGUAGAGAUGUGGAGGAACACCAGUGGCGAAGGCGGCUUUUUGGUCUGUAACUGACGCUGAGGCGCGAAAGCGUGGGGAGCAAACAGGAUUAGAUACCCUGGUAGUCCACGCCGUAAACGAUGAGUGCUAAGUGUUAGAGGGUUUCCGCCCUUUAGUGCUGCAGCUAACGCAUUAAGCACUCCGCCUGGGGAGUACGGUCGCAAGACUGAAACUCAAAGGAAUUGACGGGGGCCCGCACAAGCGGUGGAGCAUGUGGUUUAAUUUCGAAGCAACGCGAAGAACCUUACCAGGUCUUGACAUCCUCUGACAACUCUAGAGAUAGAGCGUUCCCCUUUCGGGGGACAGAGUGACAGGUGGUGCAUGGGUUGUCGUCAGCUCGUGUCGUGAGAUGUUGGGUUUAAGUUCCCGCACGAGCGCAACCCUUUGAUCUUACUGGCAGCAUUUACU